AGUGUCGUAAGGGUGCGUAACACGUAUGCAAUCUGCCCUCAACAGGAGGAUAGCUCCCCGAAAGGGGAAUUAACACUCCAUAAUAUGGAGACCUGGCACCAGGUUUUUAUUAAAACUACGGUGGUUGAGGAUGAGCAUGCGCAUGAUUAGCUAGUUGGCGGGGUAACGGCCCACCAAGGCGAUGAUCAUUAGGGGAACUGAGAGGUUGAUCCCCCACACUGGCACUGAGAUACGGGCCAGACUCCUACGGGAGGCAGCAGUAGGGAAUAUUGGACAAUGGGUGCGAGCCUGAUCCAGCCAUGCCGCGUGCAGGAAGACGGCCUUCUGGGUUGUAAACUGCUUUUAUCUGGGGAUAAAAAAGGAGUGCGCUCUUAAUUGAAGGUACCAGAUGAAUAAGCCACGGCUAACUAUGUGCCAGCAGCCGCGGUAAUACGUAGGUGGCAAGCGUUGUCCGGAUUUAUUGGGUUUAAAGGGUGCGUAGGCGGUCUGUUAAGUCAGUGGUGAAAUACUUCAGCUCAACUGGAGAGGUGCCAUUGAUACUGGCGGACUUGAGUACUGAUGAGGUAGGCGGAAUGGACGGUGUAGCGGUGAAAUGCUUAGAUAUCGUCCAGAACACCGAUAGCGAAGGCAGCUUACUAAGGAGUAACUGACGCUGAUGCACGAAAGUGUGGGGAUCAAACAGGAUUAGAUACCCUGGUAGUCCACACUGUAAACGUUGAUCACUCGAUGUUG
rnacentral:rRNA from 1 species